CCAUGAACAACGCAAAUCUUCAACAUUCUCGAAACUGGUUCCAAUGCGAUUUUCGAGGUCCCUGUCUGCGCUCGCAGGCGGCCGUGGCCCACGACCCAAAUCGUAGGUUUUCGAACAGAAUGGAGAAGGACGAAGGCUUCUUCGGCGCUCGAUCUUGGGUGCGGUUCUUCCCUGCUCGCUGUGGGAAGGGCCGCAAUGAUUGGACGUACAU
rnacentral:sRNA from 1 species